CCCCUGACCAAACGACAGAUAAUCACAGUCACCAUUCUCUGUUUUGUCAACUUAAUCAACUAAAUGGACAGAUAUACAAUAGCUGGAAUUGUAACCCAAAUUCAAUGCGAUCUAAAUAUCGGAGAUACAGAAAGUGGCCUGCUUCAAACAGCUUUCGUCGCCAUUUACAUGAUCUGCGCCCCGUAUUUGACUAUUUGGCUACCUGGGUGAUCGAUACUCUCGAAGGCUUAUCAUGGCUGCCGGUAUUUUCGUCUGGAGCCUGACAACAUUACUUGGCUCUUACGUGACAAAUUUCUGGGCUUUCCUGGUCAUGAGGAGCCUUGUAGGUGUGGGAGAAGCUUCCUACUCAACCAUAGCACCUACCAUCAUUUCAGACUUAUUUGUUGGCGAUACUCGCUCAAAAUUUCUAGCCCUCUUCUAUUUCGCAACUCCGGUCGGGAGUGGACUAGGUUACAUCGUUGGCUCAGAAGCAUCUAGAGUGAUGGGAUCGUGGCAUUGGGGCCUUCGAGUCACGCCAGUUUUCGGGGCCGUAGCCGUGCUUCUGAUUUUGCUGGUCGUCCAGGAUCCUCCACGCGGCGAAUCUGAAGGCGCCCAUCUUUCAGCCACGAGCUGGUGGGACGACAUUAAAUCACUCGGCAAAAACAAAAGCUUUGUGAUGUCCACAGCAGCUUACACAGCGGUGGCCUUCGUCGCUAGAGCUCUGGCAUGGUGGGGUCCCAAGUUUAUCGCAUUGGGUUUGGCCACUCAACAAGGUCACCAGGAUGUUUCAUUGGAUGACGUAUCGUACAUUUUCGGCUUGAUUGCCAUGAUCGCUGGUUUGCUGGGCGUGCCCCUUGGAUCUUUCCUCGGCCAAAAAUUGCGCGUCCGCUAUCAGCGGGCCGAUCCCAUCGUUUUCGGUAUGGGUAUGCUGUUUUCCACUCCCCUCGUGCUAGCUGCGUUGUUUAUCGCCGGAUGGAACACCACCACUUGCUUUGUGGUCGUCUUCUUUGGUCAAGUCCUGCUCAAUUUGAAUUGGGCAAUUGUGGCUGAUAUCCUGUUGUAGGCUAUACGGUAAUCCCAACGCGACGAUCAACCGCUGAAGCGUUUCAAAUUCUAUUUUCACACGGACUGGGUGACGCCGGCUCUCCUUAUUUGAUUGGCCAGAUCUCCGAAAUUCUGAAGAAAUCCUUUUCGACUCCGGCUGCAUUCGUCGAAGGCGCCAUGGUUCUAAACUCGACUGUUUCGUCAAUUGUGAGCGACUUUGUUACGAGUUUACCUGAUUAGAAUGUCAGCGCAAACUGUUCCAGUUCAGGAACGUCAUCUAUAGAUCUCACCACUGUUGAAGGCGACUUCAAAGCCCUACAGUGGGCCAUGUCUAUCACGAUAGUCGUGGAAGUUCUCGGUGCUCUCUUCUUUUUCGGAACAGCAUGGUAUGAAUUCUUUUCAUUAAGAGAAAUCCAAGUUUCCCAACUGAAAAGAUUCUUUUUUAAAUAUACGUACAUCGUGGAGGACAAAGCCAAAGUUGAUCGCACAGUAGCAAGUCAGUGCCGUUUAUACUAACAUUUCAUUGUCGAAAUUGAUUGUAUCGCUUUAAAGUGAAGAUGCAUGAUCGUUUUGAUGGUACGUCGGUGAACUAAUACUCUUUCUGGUGGCUUUUGUCUUUUUAUGUAUGUGGCUCCUUCUGCUUUCUAUGGGUUCUUUCUUCCCGACUGGAUUGUGUGUCCUGUAUGCAUGUUUUUAAUCAACGCUCACCAUAAAAAUAAAACGCACAGACGGCCCACCCGUUUUCCGAGCCGUAAGCAUGAAGGAGUUGCCCGCGUCCUUGAUGUGGAACGGCCAUCCCUCUGACUUGGUGACGUCUAAAAAAAUAGGUUAGUCGGGCCGACUUUAUCGUCGAACCUAUUAGACAAUUGAGAAAUGAGAUCGUAUUGAUAAGAUUUGAUGCGUAGAUCUGUGAUGUUUUGAUUUGAUUUGAUUUCCUAUUGCGUUUGGUUUCAAAGUACUGAAUUUGUCCUACUUUUAAAGUGAUGUCACAGUGCACGAGUGUCCUUUAUGCAGAGUUUUGGCUUCGUUUCAAUAACGCACACUUCAGCUGAAGGGCUUUAAA